CAAACUGAAGAUGGCGACCGGCGCACGGGUGAGUAACACGUAUCCAACCUGCCGAUAACUCCGGAAUAGCCUUUCGAAAGAAAGAUUAAUACCGGAUGGCAUACGAAUAUCGCAUGAUAUUUUUAUUAAAGAAUUUCGGUUAUCGAUGGGGAUGCGUUCCAUUAGUUUGUUGGCGGGGUAACGGCCCACCAAGACUACGAUGGAUAGGGGUUCUGAGAGGAAGGUCCCCCACAUUGGAACUGAGACACGGUCCAAACUCCUACGGGAGGCACAUG
rnacentral:rRNA from 1 species